rnacentral:lncRNA from 1 species
AUGUCCCAAAUAUGUCCAGACCCACCUUCUGAUCGUAGUGCACAGGAGCUCCUGACAGUUGACGGUAGCUGUCCUCCUUCAAUACUGAGGAAAAGACCACCUGUGGACCAAGCUGUGGGGGAAAAAAGGAAAGCAGAGAGAAGGGUUCGAUUUCGUGAGCCAGAAGAAGUCAUUGAACAUGUGCAUGACAGGUCAUCAUCUGGAUUGCCUGUGCUCCUGGGGCUCUCCUUUUGUGCUGUGCUGAUCCUGGCUGCGAGUCUCUACUACACCAGCAUGAAGCAAGACACCAAAGUCCUGGAGGAGUUUCAAUCCCGACUUGUUAUCUUCUUUCUUCAGAUAAGACACGUUGCUCAUAAAUGCUGGACUUGGUUUAUGAGGCAGUAGCGAUGUCCUCCAUCUGCAGAAAGCCUGACAGACAUCUCAGAGCACUGGUAAUCAUCAUACGACAGAGCAAAGCUCCCUGUCAACUCAGUCCCCAUGCAAGGAACACGAGCAUCCAACUCAAAGAACAAGAAAACCACCCCUCUUGUGCACCUUCCAGCAGCUGCUUGUUCUCCUUUCCUUUCUUCUUUUUCCUUAACAUUACUGAAUGAUAAUAGUAGCACCAAGAGGUCCCACCAAACUGAUGCUCCAUCAUCCUUAACAGCAAACAAGUGCCUGAGUUUUGUCCCCCAAAGAGCUUAUAAACUGCUGUUAUGAGGAGCAGAGGCAGAGAGAGAAAUUCAUUGAUCUGUGCAGGCAGCAGCACAGUAUGAAUAAAAGUCUCCCGAGUCUCA